AUUGAACGCUGGCGGAAUGCUUUACACAUGCAAGUCGAACGGCAGCACGGACUUCGGUCUGGUGGCGAGUGGCGAACGGGUGAGUGAUACAUCGGAUCGCGUCCUGUAAUGGGGGAUAACCUGGCGAAAGCCAGGCUAAUACCGCAUACGUCCUGAGGGAGAAAGCGGGGGAUCGCAAGACCUCGCGUUAUAGGAGCGGCCGAUGUCGGAUUAGCUAGUUGGUGGGGUAAAGGCCUACCAAGGCGACGAUCUGUAGCGGGUCUGAGAGGACGGCCCGCCACACUGGGACUGAGACACGGCCCAGACUCCUACGGGAGGCAGCAGUGGGGAAUUUUGGACAAUGGGGGCAACCCUGAUCCAGCCAUUCCGCGUGAGUGAAGAAGGCCUGG
rnacentral:rRNA from 1 species